GACGAACGCUGGCGGCGUGCUUAACACAUGCAAGUCGAACGGUAAGGCCCUUCGGGGUACACGAGUGGCGAACGGGUGAGUAACACGUGGGUGAUCUGCCCUGCACUUCGGGAUAAGCCUGGGAAACUGGGUCUAAUACCGGAUAGGACCACUGCCUGCAUGGGUGGUGGUGGAAAGCUUUUGCGGUGUGGGAUGGGCCCGCGGCCUAUCAGCGUGUUGGUGGGGUGAUGGCCUGCCAAGGCGAUGCCGGGUAGCAGGCGUGAGAGGGUGACCGGCCACACUGGGACUGAGAUACGGACCGGACGCCUACGGGAGGCAGCAGUGGGGAAUAUUGCACAAUGGGCGCAAGCCUGAUGCAGCGACGCCGCGUGAGGGAUGACGGCCUUCGGGUUGUAAACCUCUUUCAGCACCGACGAAGCGCAAGUGACGGUAGGUGCAGAUGAAGGACCGGCCAACUACGUGCCAGCCGCCGCCGUAA
rnacentral:rRNA from 1 species